rnacentral:lncRNA from 1 species
UGCUAGCAUCUUAUAGAUCUCACUCUUCAUCUUUGGAUCUAGAUCUCUUCUUCUAAAUCUCGAAGAAGGAGAUCGCUGCACAAACUCUUUCGUGCAAAUUUGAUGGGAUAUGAACCAGAUCACCAUGAAAAGAAGAAGAACUCUUCUUCUUCUCUUCUUCUCUCUUUUUUCUCUUCUUAGAUCUGAUCACCAUCAGAUCUGGGUGUUGGAUGAAGGGGAGA